CCAUACGACCGUACCGCAAACCGACACUGGUGCGCGAGAUGAGUAUUCUAAGGCGCUUGAGAGAACUCAGGAGAAGGAACUCGGCAAAUUGACACCGUAACUUCGGAAGAAGGUGUGCCCUAUUAGUGUGUAGUGAACAACGAAGCAUGAAUGGGUUGCAAAAAAUCGGUGGCUGCGACUGUUUAUUAAAAACACAGCACUCUGCAAACACGAAAGUGGACGUAUAGGGUGUGACGCCUGCCCGGUGCUGGAAGAUUAAAUGAUGGGGUGCAAGCUCUUGAUUGAAGUCCCAGUAAACGGCGGCCCUAACUAUAACGGUCCUAAGGUAGCGAAAUUCCUUGUCGGGUAAGUUCCGACCUGCACGAAUGGCGUAACGAUGGCCACACUGUCUCCUCCUGAGACUCAGCGAAGUUGAAAUGUUUGUGAUGAUGCAAUCUCCCCGCGGAAAGACGGAAAGACCCCAUGAACCUUUACUGUAGCUUUGUAUUGGACUUUGAACAGAUCUGUGUAGGAUAGGUGGGAGGCUUUGAAGCAGGGUCGCUAGAUCUUGUGGAGCCAACGUUGAAAUACCACCCUGGUGUGUUUGAGGUUCUAACCUAGGUCCAUUAUCUGGAUCGGGGACAGUGCAUGGUAGGCAGUUUGACUGGGGCGGUCUCCUCCCAAAGCGUAACGGAGGAGUUCGAAGGUACGCUAGUUACGGUCGGACAUCGUGACGAUAGUGCAAUGGCAUAAGCGUGCUUAACUGCGAGACUGACAAGUCGAGCAGAUGCGAAAGCAGGACAUAGUGAUCCGGUGGUUCUGUAUGGAAGGGCCAUCGUUCAACGGAUUAAAGGUACUCUGGGGAUAACAGGCUGAUACCGCCCAAGAGUUCAUAUCGACGGCGGUGUUUGGCACCUCGAUGUCGGCUCAUCUCAUCCUGGGGCUGUAGCCGGUCCCAAGGGUAUGGCUGUUCGCCAUUUAAAGAGGUACGUGAGCUGGGUUUAAAACGUCGUGAGACAGUUUGGUCCCUAUCUUCCGUGGGCGCUGCAGAUUUGAGGAAGCCUGCUCCUAGUACGAGAGGACCGGAGUGGACACACCUCUGGUGUAUCGGUUGUCACGCCAGUGGCAUUGCCGAGUAGCUAAGUGUGGAAGAGAUAACCGCUGAAAGCAUCUAAGCGGGAAACUCGUUUCAAGAUGAGAUCUGCCGGGGCCUUGAGCCCCCUAAAGAGUCGUUCAAGACCAGGACGUUGAUAGGUCAGGUGUGGAAGCGG
rnacentral:rRNA from 1 species